UUAAAUCAAAUGUGGUAAUCCAAGUCUGGGUGUGAAAUAUAUUAAAAUUAGAAAAAGUGAUGACAGAUAAAAGGUUAGUGAAAAACGUGCCAAAUUAUUUCAUUAGAAAAUUGCUCUAAAGCACCAUAUUUAAACAUAGUGAGGCUAUUUUCUUCAAUUUUCCCAACGUUCAACUGGUCUUUUAAAGGUAGAUAUGUGAACAUGUAUGUGUGUAUAUAUAAGAGUGCAUAUAUAUCUCUGUAUAUAUUUAUGUGUGUGUAUUUACAUUUAUGUUUUCACUGAUCGAGAAAGAGAGAGAGAAGGAAAACUACUUCUGGAGCCUGAACAGAAAACCUCAUCUGAAUUGGGAAAAAUUUAAAUCCUGUGGCUCAAACACCAAGCAUCUGCUGCUUAGUGAUAGCAUUUCCAAACUGUUGAAAUGAGAUGUACAUUUUUAAUGGAGAAACAUCUUGUGGGCUUUGAGAAAAGAGGAAAAGGAGAUCAUGAACAUUCCAUCCUACACUAAUGGUGUGAAUAAUUCCAUGAGGGGCAAGCAACGUAACAUUUCUUUGGGUUCCAAAAUGAAUCAAAGCUGACUCAGUGUCCCCAGAGAACAAACAUUUUGAGAAAUCCAAAAAAGUCACCUUCUUGGAUUACCUCCCCUUCCAUUCUUUUAACAAGAAAUCUAGAGCUAUGGUGUCCAGAGGGGAAAAAAAAAAAAGAAUGCUAGUCUAUUUUGGUCACUGACGCUCUUGACCUGUGGUACAAGAAAUGGCACCACCAUACUUCUCCUUCCAACCUCAGGCGCAGAGAUCUUCACUGAAGCUCUCAAGACUAAAACAUCUAGUGUCUGGUCUACAUGGGCAUCCACAUGGCCACCUCCAUGAGAAAUCCUGUAUCCACAAAGGUAUUGCUUUUCAGUGAAAUCAGAACCCUACUACUAACUGAAACUAACUGAAACCCCAACUCACUUCCCAGUGCUCAAGUAUCCAGCCAAUAUCCCAGAAUUCCUUCCAUUUUCCCCUUGAGUCCUUUCCUUUCACAUCACACAAAUAAACAAAAAAUUAUUUGUAUCUGUUUGGCCA